rnacentral:rRNA from 1 species
GACGAACGCUGGCGGCGUGCCUAAUACAUGCAAGUUGAGCGCUGAAGGCUGGUACUUGUACCAACUGGAUGAGCAGCGAACGGGUGAGUAACGCGUGGGGAAUCUGCCUUUGAGCGGGGGACAACAUUUGGAAACGAAUGCUAAUACCGCAUAAAAACUUUAAACACAAGUUUUAAGUUUGAAAGAUGCAAUUGCAUCACUCAAAGAUGAUCCCGCGUUGUAUUAGCUAGUUGGUGAGGUAAAGGCUCACCAAGGCGAUGAUACAUAGCCGACCUGAGAGGGUGAUCGGCCACAUUGGGACUGAGACACGGCCCAAACUCCUACGGGAGGCAGCAGUAGGGAAUCUUCGGCAAUGGACGAAAGUCUGACCGAGCAACGCCGCGUGAGUGAAGAAGGUUUUCAGAUCGUAAAACUCUGUUGGUAGAGAAGAACGUUGGUGAGAGUGGAAAGCUCAUCAAGUGACGGUAACUACCCAGAAAGGGACGGCUAACUACGUG